UGGGGAAUAUUGGACAAUGGGGGAAACCCUGAUCCAGCAAUGCCGCGUGUGUGAAGAAGGCCUUAGGGUUGUAAAGCACUUUCAGUUGGGAGAAAUAUCCUAUGGCUAAUAACCAUCGGUUUGAUGCUACCGACAGAAGAAGCACCGGCUAACUCUGUGCCAGCAGCCGCGGUAAUACAGAGGGUGCAAGCGUUAAUCGGAAUUACUGGGCGUAAAGCGCGCGUAGGUGGAUAAGUAAGUUGGAUGUGAAAUCCCCGGGCUCAACCUGGGACUGGCAUUCAAAACUGCUUUUCUAGAGUAUAGUAGAGGGGAGUGGAAUUUCCGGUGUAGCGGUGAAAUGCGUAGAUAUCGGAAGGAACACCAGUGGCGAAGGCGACUCCCUGGACUAAUACUGACACUGAGGUGCGAAAGCGUGGGGAGCAAACAGG
rnacentral:rRNA from 1 species